rnacentral:lncRNA from 1 species
AUUAGGAAACCAACAAAAAUAAACUCACAUUAUUGAGAAUUGGGCCAAGAAUUAUUGAAGAGAAAACAAAGUGUACCAAUAAAGUAUAAACAUGGGCCUAAAAGUAUAUAAAAACUUAAUCUUCAACUCUUCAAUUCUUCAUCUCAUUCUCACUCAUCUCCUUCAAUCAGAUCAUAGCCAAAAUCAAUUAACCCAGGUACCAAUCUCAAUUCCUUUCUUUAAUAAUUUAAUUUUUUGAUAAUCACUUUUUUAUAUAAUCUUAUUUGAUAAUUGAAAAUAGAGUAAAGGAAUGGCUUUUAUGAAAGGAAAAGCAGUGGUGACAAAAAUUGCAGCUUUUGCUAAGUAUGGUGUUCUACCAGGAGCUAUGGUAGCUUCUUUGAUUUAUUCUCCUCCUCGUUAUUCUUCUUCAAUCAACAAUAACAAGAUCCUCAACUAGUACCAAUUUGUGAGUUUUUAUUCUAUAUAUCUAUUAGGCUUUAGAAUCUGUGUUUUGGUCUUGUUAGUCAUAAUCUAUUGUGAUAAAGAUUCAAUUUUUAAGAACUUGUAAAAAAAAUCAUCUAGAUUGGCAUGCUCAAGUUUACUAUAUAGUCGCGAUUUGACGAUGUUUUACGUUGGUUGUGAACAUCCUGAAACAAUCUUUGCCUUUUAUUCGGGCUUAGGAUCGGCUAUGUAUUGUAUCAAGCAUAUGUAGGUUUAGGUUUGGUUGUUGUUGUUGGACAUGCCCAAGUUCUUAUAUUUGCUUGCAAUUUUGCAACUCAUAUUUAGAUAAGACAACUUUCAUGUGGGUGCAAAAAAUAUGAGUUUUUUCUAUCUUCUAUCUCUAAUGUGUUUUGUGUGUUUGUCUCAUUCAAUUUACUUUAAAAGUGAGAAUUAAGGGGUAUUGCUUUGUCGAUGAACAUGAUUUAUAAUAGAGCAUUACGACGUUGUUCGUUCCAUCUAUGCAACAGGCCCGUGGGAUAAUGACUUGGUUGUUGUUGUUGUUGCUUAGUCUGACAUCUAACAACAACAACCAAGCCCCUUUCCCUUUAGGUGUGUUGACCACAUCAGAUGAUGUUCUAUUUAUUAUAAAUCAUGUCUUUAAGAUACACCAUUUAAAUCUACAUCUUUCUUAACGGUUUCAAUUAUAGUUUUUUAUUGGUUCGAUGAACAUCUAACUAUUAGGUUACCCUCUAUCUGAUUCACUCUCCUUAUUGAUGUUUCUAUACGUCUUCUCGACACACGUCCACACUACUUAAGACUAGUGAUGUGGAUUGUGGAAUGAUUCAAUGAGUCCUCUUAGUAACCCUUUUCUCAAAUGUAUCUUAUGUUUGUGAGAGCACUAUAGUCUAUGAAGCACGAACACUUCAAAAUAGUCGUUGUGGACAUUUCCUAUCUGUCGGAUACAUUUGCACGAGACACUUUCCGACACUCCUAACUGCAUCCUACAACUUCUACCUUCACCUUUUGAAUUCUAUAUCAUUAUAGAUGGAAUUGACACAAUAGUUAGGUAAAUUAUAGCAUUUUAUUAUAUAUACAUUGACUCAUGCCAACUUUUAAAACAUUUCUCUUGUAUCAUUUUUUCUGUCGUAUAUGGCAUCACUCGAUCCACGUAGCUAACUCCACCUAGUGGGAUAAAGGCUGUUUGUUGUUGUUGUUGUUGUGUCGUACCCUAUCAUCUUUAAACUUCUCAUCUCGUCGUGCAUGUGUCAUGUUGUAUCCGUGUCUCGUGUUGUAUUUGUGCUUCCUAGACUAUAGAAUAUUAAAGUGAACUUAAGUUUUUUCCCUACUCCAUCCUUAUCUAUACAAAGGUUUGGAAUUACUAUGUAUCCUAACAGUUCAAUUUUGUAAUGGAACAGGAACAUUUGUGCUGCUAGGUGAUCCAUAUCAGCAAUAUGUGAAUCCUUUAAUGAACUAUGUUCCCUUAAUAAAAUGGGGUUACUUGAUUUUUUGUAUUGUUAUUUCAUAUGGAUUUUGUGCAAUUUCUGAAAUUACACUAUCAAAUUGUGAAUGACCAUUGUGAAUAAUGUUUCACAUUUGAUAUGUUAUCCAAAGCAAUUUACUUCAUUUUCUAAGCCUUCCUUUUCUCUCAAUUCUUUUUUGGGUAUCCCCUCACAUUUAGGGUAAGAAAUUAAUCUCUUUCAGGGUACGUGACCAC